rnacentral:rRNA from 1 species
UACGGAGGGGGCUAGCGUUGUUCGGAAUUACUGGGCGUAAAGCGCGCGUAGGCGGCUUUGUAAGUUAGAGGUGAAAGCCCGGAGCUCAACUCCGGAACUGCCUUUAAGACUGCAUCGCUAGAAUUGUGGAGAGGUGAGUGGAAUUCCGAGUGUAGAGGUGAAAAUUCGUAGAUAUUCGGAAGAACACCAGUGGCGAAAGCGGCACCCUGCAUUAGCCUGACGCU